CGGUGCCUACGGGGGGCAGCAGUGAGGAAUAUUGGUCAAUGGCCGAGAGGCUGAACCAGCCAAGUCGCGUGAGGGAAGAAUGUCCUAUGGAUUGUACACCUCUUUUGUCAGGGAGCAAAGUCACCCACGAGUGGGUGUUGGAGAGUACCUGAAGAAAAAGCAUCGGCUAACUCCGUGCCAGCAGCCGCGGUAAUACGGAGGAUGCAAGCGUUAUCCGGAUUUAUUGGGAUUAAAGGGU
rnacentral:rRNA from 1 species